UGGGUUUCAUUCUUUAUCCAAACAGUUAGGAAGUCUGCUUUUUCCUCCUAACCUGCUUUUUCCCUUCUUACCGCAACGCCCAAACGGGGCUUAAAACUGUUGGUACAGCAACUGCUAAUUCCUCUCUCUCUCGGAGUCUGUGAUUACCACAGCGAUUAAUCGCCCUUUUGAUGAGACAACUCAUCAGAGGAGAAAAGUUUAUGUUUUUAGAAACAUUCUGAAUAUAGAUUUAAUGGGUGACCCUUCUAGCUCAGAUUCAAGCCUCGCGUGGCUUUGGGUCAUUGAGUACCUUGCAAGCUUCCAGCAACUAGACCCGUCAAUUUUACAUGAUUUGAUUGAUGUAGCUCCAAUAUUACCUGAGGAUUUGGGAAAGAGCAUGAGGGAAAUGGUUGCUUUGAGAUGCUUGGAGCAAUUGUUUGGUACUAGUAAUGAAAUUGUGAAUGAUGUUCCUUCUGUGACAGAGCCCAAACAUACAUUCGACUUCUCACAGACUUGUGAAGAUGUGCUCGAAUCCAUACUGAAAGAAACUUCAGUAUCAGAUUUGAGAACGUCUGGACCAGAUCUGUUGAAAUGGGAUAUUCAUCCUUUCAUCACACACAAAAGAGCUUCCAUGCCAAAAUGUGCUUUAGAACAGCUGAAAGAUGCAAUCCUUGAAGGUACCCGUCCAUAUGCUGCUUCCCUGACAGAACUUAGUGGACUGGUGCAUAAAAAUGAUGAGAAUGAUAGUGUCACUGUGGAUUCUGGUCAUCAUAAUGCAGUUGCCGGGAGGGUUGACAGUGAUGACACUAAUGCCCAAAUUAUGGCACCAGAGGGGAGCGCCAUUUCUUUACCGCUUGAAAAUAGGAAUGAAAUGGUAGGAUGUGAUUCACAUCAUAGAAAUUUAUUACCCUUGAAGAGGAACGAAAGUGAUUUGGAUAAUGAAAAUCCUGCUGGAGAGUGUCAGGAAGACCAAGGUGAUGUGGGUAAUGAUGAUCUCCAUUUAAAUGUCAAAAGGUUUAAGAGUGAUGCCUUGUGUAUUUAUAUCUCUACGGAACAGAUUUUUAUUCCACUAAAUGGUAAGGAGUUGGUAGAGGAUUCCUCUGAAAGGAUGGUUGGAGUUACAGAGAAAGAAAGUUGCCAUAUGGAAAGAGAAUCUCUAGGAGCGCUGGGUGAAUUCAGGUCUUUAGAGAAUGGUCAUGACAAGUUUGUUGCUACAGAGGGGCUUGGGAGAAGUCUUGAUGCUGAUGUUAGUGCUGAAUUCCAGCAUAAUCAAUGUGAGAAUGCCGACAAUGCCAACAAAAUGCCAUCAGAUACAUCUGGAGAUGGACCUUGCCGGUUUAUUUUGGUGGAUGAAGUCAAUGAGGCUGAACCUAGAGCAUUAAAUGACAUGUCUGUGAGAACCCGGCACAAGGUCUCCAUUGAUGACACCAAAGCUAACAGUUACUGUGGAAAUCAGCUAAAAUCACCUAGUGUCAUUUCCUUGACUGGAUUGCACAGAGAUACUACUGUUGAAAAAGUUGGCAUGGAGCAUUUUUAUGAAGAAGACCCAUCAUGUGAUGGUGAUGAGUACCAUCAAGAGAAGUUUGAUGUUGCUAUGGAGAAGAGUCAUUUCCUGAGCUCUCUAUGCACAUUAAAUCAUGUUUCCCCAACUGACUGGACAGAGCGAAAUCUUUGCAUAAAGUGUAGCAAAGAUGGUCAGUUGUUGGUUUGCAAUGCUGUUGGUUGUCCAUUGGUGGUUCACAGUGGGUGCUUGGGUUCUUUACCAAGUUUUGAUGUGGAGGGAAAAUUUUACUGCCCAUUUUGUGCAUAUUCUCAUGCUAUCUCAGAGUACAUGGAAGUUAAGAAAAAGGCCUCUUUGGCAAGGAAGGAACUGUCUGCAUUUAUUCAUAAACAAACUGAGAGCUCACAUAGCAAAGAACAUAGUAAGUCAAAUCAAUAUGGAGAUGAGGAUGAUAUGAGUGGGAAUUUGGGACGGAGAGAGCCUGAUCAAACAAAUAAUGAUGGGUAUCCAUUAAAAGUUAAUGGCCAAUUUAAGAAAGGAAGUGUUGAUGAGCAACAAGUGGAGCCUAUUGUAUCAUGUCUUGAUGUAAAUUUAAUGGGCCGAGAAGAAAAGCCAGAUGCAACUCACGGGACAAUUAAUAUUUCUCCUGGUGAAAAAAAAAGGGAAGAGAUGGCUCCAGAGUGCCUGUCCGUACAGGCGCUUGAUAGGCAAGACCAAAUUUGUGAUGACCCCAAAGGCAAUGGUGAUAAUCCCAUAUCUGAAAACAAUGAGUUUUUCUCUUCAAAUGAAAAACAAGCUGAGGGAGGAAUUGAGAAGGAAGUUCUAGAGCAACAAAGUAGUGAUUCAUUGGAGAAACCUGUUUGUGCCAUUAAGAUUGAUGAAGGAGACAUCUCUGAUGAGGGAAAUAAAGAAAAUAUGAUCUCUAAUUACUCCAUAAGAUCUCGAAGGAGAGAGAGACAAUAUGUAUACCCAGCAAUACCUCAGUUGAGAAGAAAGAAAGUUCCUUGGACGGUUAAGGAAGAGGAGAUGCUUAAGGAGGGAGUGCAGAAAUUUUCAAAUAUUGGUGAAAGAGCUAUAUGGAAAAAAAUUUUGGAGUAUGGUGGUUCUGUAUUUCUGAGUGGCCGUACUACAGUAGACCUAAAGGAUAAAUGGAGGAACAUAUGUAAAUGAAGUCCUAAAUGCAAAUCGUUUUGUCUGCCUGCUACACUAUAAUCUAGUCAGAAAUUGAGGAAAUAGCUGUGCUUGACUGAUAAUAUGGUAGACGCCAAGUCUUAUGGUUUCUCUGUCUUCAUACUGUUGUGGGACAUCUCCCAAGUGCAUUGAAGAGUGAGGACAGUCUUUCUCAUGAUCAUCAAUCUCAAAUUUAAGCAUUCUCAUAAGUUCUGGAAGCAUCCUUUGAUUUCAGAUCAUGACAAAUGUGAUAGAUGCGACAAGAGCUGGAUUUGUAUGGGAUGGACUCUUCUCCACUUUUGCUUUUGCAGCACUGUAAAGUAGAGCAGGGUAAUAUGCAGAAGAUUGUGCUGUACAAAUUUAAUGGAGCUGAGAAAGAAAUUCUAUACUUUUGCUACAUCAUGUACAUUUCACUGUUUUGUUUGUAAUUGCCAACUUGAAAUUGUCACCAUCAUUGUAAUCCUAAUUGUUUAUUUCCUGUUUUUGGAUUUCUGAUCUAAUUUGCAUUAUGAGAUAGUUGUCUCCAUGAUCAUCAAAUCAUGGCCAUCAAUUCAAUACAUGCAUUGGUGUUUAUUCUUUC